UACGUACCGUCCAAACGUUAUUCGGUAUCACUGGGCUUAAAGCGUUCGUAGGCGGCCUAGAAGGUGAGAUGUGAAAGCCCACGGCUCAACCGUGGAAUUGCGUUUCAAACCACUAGGCUUGAGGAAGACAGGGGUGAUGGGAACUUAUGGUGGAGCGGUGAAAUGCGUUGAUAUCAUAGGGAACACCGGUGGCGAAAGCG
rnacentral:rRNA from 1 species